rnacentral:rRNA from 1 species
UACGGGGGGGGCAAGCGUUGUUCGGAAUUACUGGGCGUAAAGGGCUCGUAGGCGGCCAACUAAGUCGGAUGUGAAAUCCCCAGGCUUAACCUGGGAACUGCAUCCGAUACUGGAUGGCUUGAGUUUGGGAGAGGGACGCGGAAUUCCAGAUGUAGCGGUGAAAUGCGUAGAUAUCUGGAGGAACACCGGUGGCGAAGGCGGCGUCCUGGACCAACACUGACACUGAUGAGCGAAAGCCAGGGGAGCAAACGGG